rnacentral:rRNA from 1 species
CCUUCCAGGCUGGUAAACGAAAACCACGGAAACCCGCUACCACGCGAGCGGAGUCCCAUCUCGCAGCCUCACGCCGACCUAAUAGUCGCGCAAUUCACAAAUAUAAAUCCGGCGAUUCUUCCAGAAACGGGAGCUAGGGUUUCGCCUCUCUCCCGCCUAUUCCUCCUCCGCGCACCAGCGACCUCUCUCGCCGCCGCCAUGGGGACGGAGCGGAAGCGCAAGGUGAGCCUCUUCGACGUGGUUGACGAGACCUCCGUAUCCGCUAAGCUCGGCCGCGCCGGCAUCAAUGGUGCCGCCGCCGCGGCCAAUCCGUCCAUCAACCGGUGGAACGGCCGGCCCUACUCGGCGCGGUACCUAGAGAUCCUCGAGAAGCGCCGCACGCUCCCCGUCUGGCAGCAGAAGGACGAGUUCCUCCGCGUCCUCCGCGACAACCAGACCCUCAUCCUUGUCGGAGAAACCGGAAGUGGCAAGACCACUCAGAUCCCCCAAUUUGUGCUCGAGGCUGAAGGUCUGAGCAACCGCUCUAUGGUUGCCUGCACCCAGCCGCGGAGGGUUGCUGCAAUGUCGGUCUCUCGGCGUGUCGCGGAGGAGAUGGAUGUCACAAUCGGGGAGGAAGUUGGUUACAGUAUCCGAUUUGAAGAUUGCAGCAGUCACAAAACUGUUCUCAAAUAUUUGACAGAUGGUAUGCUUCUGAGAGAAGCAAUGGCAGACCCACUUUUAGAGAGGUACAAGGUGAUUGUUCUUGACGAGGCUCAUGAGCGCACGUUGGCAACGGAUGUUCUGUUUGGGCUUCUGAAGGAAGUUCUAAAGAACAGGCCUGACUUGAAGCUUGUUGUUAUGAGUGCUACUCUUGAGGCAGAGAAGUUUCAGGGUUAUUUCAGUGGUGCACCAUUGAUGAAGGUUCCUGGUAGACUUCAUCCUGUUGAGAUCUUCUAUACACAGGAACCAGAAAGGGACUAUCUAGAAGCUGCUAUCAGGACAGUUGUGCAGAUACAUAUGUGUGAACCUGCUGGUGAUAUCCUUGUAUUCCUUACUGGAGAAGAGGAGAUUGAGGAUGCGUGUCGGAAAAUAAACAAGGAAGUUAAUAACAUGGGUGAUCAGGUUGGCCCAGUUAAAGUCGUGCCAUUGUACUCUACUCUCCCCCCUGCAAUGCAGCAGAAGAUUUUUGACCCUGCUCCACCUCCAUUGAAAGAGGGAGGUCCUGCUGGAAGGAAAAUUGUUGUGUCCACAAACAUUGCUGAGACAUCCCUAACCAUUGAUGGUAUAGUGUAUGUUAUAGAUCCAGGGUUUUCCAAACAGAAGGUUUACAAUCCAAGGAUAAGGGUGGAAUCCCUUUUGGUGUCUCCAAUUUCCAAGGCAAGUGCGCAUCAGCGAGCUGGUCGUGCUGGAAGAACACAGCCUGGGAAGUGCUUCAGGUUGUACACAGAGAAGAGUUUUAAUGGUGAUUUACAGCCACAGACCUACCCAGAAAUUCUUCGGUCAAACUUGGCAAAUACAGUUCUUACUCUGAAGAAGCUUGGAAUUGAUGAUUUAGUGCAUUUUGACUUCAUGGAUCCUCCUGCGCCCGAAACUCUAAUGAGGGCCUUGGAAGUUCUGAACUACUUGGGGGCACUCGACGAUGAAGGCAACCUAACAUCUUUAGGUGAAAUGAUGAGUGAGUUCCCCUUAGACCCACAGAUGUCAAAGAUGCUUGUCAUCAGUCCAAGGUACAACUGUUCAAAUGAGAUCCUCUCAAUAUCUGCCAUGCUAUCAGUACCCAAUUGCUUUCUCCGGCCUAGGGAGGCACAAAAGGCUGCUGAUGAGGCGAAGGCUCGAUUUGGGCACAUCGAUGGGGAUCAUCUGACACUUUUGAACGUGUACCAUGCAUACAAGCAAAACAAUGAGGAUCCUACAUGGUGUUAUGAGAAUUUUGUCAAUGCCCGGGCGAUGAAGUCUGCUGAUAAUGUUAGACAACAACUUGUGCGCAUCAUGACCAGAUUCAACCUCAAGAUGUGCAGUACAGACUUCAACAGUCGUGAGUACUAUGUCAACAUCAGGAAAGCAAUGCUUUCAGGGUACUUUAUGCAGGUUGCUCAUCUGGAGCGAACUGGGCAUUACUUGACCGUUAAGGAUAAUCAGGUUGUCCAUCUUCAUCCCUCGAAUUGCAUGGACCAUAAGCCGGAAUGGGUCAUCUACAAUGAAUAUGUUUUGACCACCAGGAAUUUCAUCCGCACAGUCACCGAUAUCCGUGGAGAGUGGCUGAUCGAUAUAGCUCCACAGUACUAUGAUCUGACCAAUUUCCCAUCAUGUGAGGCCAAGCGUGUUCUUGAGAGGCUACACAAUAAGAGGGAGAGGGAAAGAGCUGCUAGUAGGAACUGAAUUGAUGUCAUUCUUCUGGUCCCUUGGAAUGUGGGCAGCGCCGCCAAAGGCUUUGGACAUCACUGUUGGCCUCCACCAUUGUCAUGAUAUCUUCCAUGUAGUAGUUUUCCAGUAUUGUGGAUGGUGAAAUCACUAUAUGCGACAUAUGUCAAAUGUCCCUCUGCUACUGCAUUCCGAAUUAUGGAGUAGAUGCUUGUUUUCCCUCUGUUUUAGAAGGUGUAGGUUAUCAUACAUUAAUUAUGUGUCGGUCUCCAUAUUUUUGGUGUAUCAAACGCUGUUGUUUACUUUGUACUUCAGCAUCCUUUUGGCUAGUUUUCAUGGAAUUGCUGACAUCGUACUGUGUUUACUUCCUUUUGAGACAACUUGUGUAACUAGUCAGGAAAUUACUCCCCC